GCCCGCCGCAGCUGAGAUUCAAAGGGCUAUGGGCUGCCCGCAGAGCGCCGUGUGCGGGGGAUUUAGAAUCCCCCUACAGGCUGCACAGUGAGGCUCUGCGGGCCGCAUGUUGUGCAGGCCUGUUUAAGUGGUGUGACUUUUA